GGAAGGGGUAUGCAGGUGUGAGGAAAGGGAAUGGGAGGAGCUUUCCCUCACAUGGGAUGCUGGAUAAACCAAGUUGGAUAAACUAAGUUUUCAGCUUUGGAAGACAGUGAAGUGCUUCAAAAGUUAUCAAAAGGUGGUUUCCUUGGGAUUUUGCCUUUCCCAAAGACAAGCCUCUAGUCUGAGAAAUGUAGGAGUAUCAUCAAGGGAUGUCUAUGCAGCAUUUCUGAUUGAUACAAAAAUAUCUAAGUUAACAAAACAAAGAAAGACUUUGAUAACCUUUCCUCAAAGCAUAG